AUUGAACGCUGGCGGCAUGCCUUACACAUGCAAGUCGAACGGCAGCGCGGGGGCAACCCUGGCGGCGAGUGGCGAACGGGUGAGUAAUAUAUCGGAACGUACCCUUGAGUGGGGGAUAACUAGUCGAAAGAUUAGCUAAUACCGCAUACGCUCUAAGGAGGAAAGUGGGGGACCGCAAGGCCUCAUGCUCGUGGAGCGGCCGAUAUCUGAUUAGCUAGUUGGUGGGGUAAAGGCCCACCAAGGCGACGAUCAGUAGCUGGUCUGAGAGGACGACCAGCCACACUGGGACUGAGACACGGCCCAGACUCCUACGGGAGGCAG
rnacentral:rRNA from 1 species